rnacentral:rRNA from 1 species
GACGUAGGGCGCGAGCGUUGUCCGGAUUUAUUGGGCGUAAAGGGCGCGUAGGCGGUGCGGUAAGUCACCUGUGAAAUCUCCUGGCUCAACUGGGAGCUUGCAGGCGAAACUGCCGUGCUGGAGUGUGGGAGAGGUGCGUGGAAUUCCUGGUGUAGCGGUGAAAUGCGUAGAUAUCGGAAGGAACACCUGUGGCGAAAGCGGCUCACUGGACCAUUACUGACGCUGAGGCGCGAAAGCUAGGGGAGCAAACAGGG